GAUGAACGCUGGCGGCGUGCCUAAUACAUGCAAGUCGAGCGACCAGAUGAGGAGCUUGCGCCCUUAACGUUAGCGGCGGGCGGGUGAGUAACACGUGCAUAACCUACCUCUAUUACUGGGAUAAUUACGUGAAACCGCUUCUAAUAAUGGAGCAUAUAUCCUACGGCUGAGUUCAAUAGUGAUUCACGCCUUUCGUGUCUGUUAUAGACGAUGCCGGAUUAGCUAGUUGGCUGGGUAAGGGCCCACCAAGGCGACGAUCCGUAGCUGGUCUGAGAGGAUGAUCGGCCACACUGGAACUGAGACACGGUCCAGACUCCUACGGGAGGCAGCAGUGGGGAAUCUUCGGCAAUGGGCGAAAGCCUGACGCAGCAAUACCGCGUGAGUGAAGAAGGUCUUCGGGUCGUAAAACUCUGUUAUUGGGAAAGAAAAAAAGUGUAUUAAAACAUGGACGUCUUGACGGUACCCAAACAAAAAGCACCGGCUAACUUCGUG
rnacentral:rRNA from 1 species